AACGAACGCUGGCGGCAUGCCUAACACGUGCAAGUCGAACGAGACCUUCGGGUCUAGUGGCGCACGGGUGCGUAACGCGUGGGAAUCUGCCCUUGGGUUCGGAAUAACAGUUGGAAACGACUGCUAAUACCGGAUGAUGACGUAAGUCCAAAGAUUUAUCGCCCAGGGAUGAGCCCGCGUAGGAUUAGCUAGUUGGUGGGGUGAAGGCCUACCAAGGCGACGAUCCUUAGCUGGUCUGAGAGGAUGAUCAGCCACACUGGGACUGAGACACGGCCCAGACUCCUACGGGAGGCAGCAGUGGGGAAUAUUGGACAAUGGGCGAAAGCCUGAUCCAGCAAUGCCGCGUGAGUGAUGAAGGCCUUAGGGUUGUAAAACUCUUUUACCCGGGAUGAUAAUGACAGUACCGGGAGAAUAAGCCCCGGCUAACUCCGUG
rnacentral:rRNA from 1 species